rnacentral:rRNA from 1 species
GCCUACAGCCACACCACCCUGAAAACACCUGAUCUCGUCUGAUCUCAGACGCUAAGCAGGGUCAGGCCUGGUUAGUAUUUGGAUAGGAGAAAACAGGACAGUAGACA